rnacentral:misc_RNA from 1 species
GAGCUCAAAGACCUGAUGAUCAACGUUCAUUGAUCUUCCAUCCACCACCUCCUACAAGCCUCCCUCGACCCAUAGACGAGUUCCGAGACAAAAGAAAUGAUCUUUUCUUUCAAUUUUUAAAUACACAUGGCUUUUCCCCUCCCUUUUCCUUGUCAUUGAACGGUCAUCCCACAUUAUCAGCGUCACAGGAAACCCAUUCUCUCCAUACCUCACCGAUCUGCGGGCAUCUCACCUCACAUCAAUUAGCUUUUUUUACAAGCCAUUCCAAUUGUCUGCCUAAAAUCAUAUUCAUAAUCAACCACAACAUACGCUCCAAUGCAAGAACCCAGCAAUCUGUCACUCUCAAACACACUAAACAUCUACAAGUAAUAAAACCCAGUUUUUAUUUAUUUAUAUAUUUUUUGCACAUGAAUAGUUCUUUAAGGUACUAAUCGAUAUCAUUCGGAAA